UUAUAAGAGACAGCAGUCGCCACGGUAAUACGAAGGGUGCAAGCGUUAAUCGGAAUUACUGGGCGUAAAGCGUGCGUAGGCGGUGAGUUAAGUCUGCUGUGAAAUCCCCGGGCUCAACCUGGGAAUGGCAGUGGAUACUGGCUCGCUAGAGUGUGUCAGAGGAUGGUGGAAUUCCCGGUGUAGCGGUGAAAUGCGUAGAGAUCGGGAGGAACAUCAGUGGCGAAGGCGGCCAUCUGGGACAACACUGACGCUGAGGCACGAAAGCGUGGGGAGCAAACAGGAUUAGAUACCCCCGUAGUCCCUGUCUCUUAUAC
rnacentral:rRNA from 1 species